AAUUUAAGCUUGCCUUCUCUGGUGAAAACUCAUGAAAAAAAAAAUCAAGCGAUGCAUUUGCCACCUGAAGCAUCGUCACUGACCACGAGUAGAGUGGCUCAGAGGAGCUGAAAAUGUGUGGGAGAAGACACUUGGGAUAUUUACCUCUUCUGGGCCUGCAGAUACGCCUUACCUUUCACCUGGAAGGUGGAGGCGGGCAAGCGGCUGCUGGCGAAGACCCUCCUGUGCAACUACGCAGGGAAGGAAGGACAGUGAGGCUGCGUAGACAGCCAGGACCCUGCAGAAGGCUCCCCUCCAGGGCUGUGACUGCCUCUGGCCGCGGGGAGCCACCACUGGCCCGACCGAGAGCAGGAGGCCCCCGAGGACCCCGCGGCCCCCGCAGCUGUCCACCUGUUUCUGAAUAUCAUCGGGGAGGAUGGCGAGCGGGAGGCCGUGAUACCCAUGCUACCAAUGGUGCAGCAACAGGGUCGAGGUUUGAAGAUCCUUCUGGAGGGGCACCUGGCUGGCUCAGUUGGUUGGGUGUCCGAUUCUGGAUGUCAGCUCCGGAUGUGAUCUUGGUGUCCUGGAAUCAGGCCAGCAUCAGGGUGGGGUGGGGUGCAGGGUCUGCUUGGGGGUCUCUCCCCCUGCCCACUUGAAUACUAAAUAAAUAAAUAAAUAAAUAAAUAAAUAAAUAAAUA
rnacentral:lncRNA from 12 species